AUUGAACGCUGGCGGCAUGCCUUACACAUGCCAGUCGAACGGUAACAGGUCUUCGGAUGCUGACGAGUGGCGCACGGGUGAGUAAUACAUCGGAACGUGCCCGAUCGUGGGGGAUAACGAAGCGAAAGCUUUGCUAAUACCGCAUAAGAUCUACGGAUGAAAGCAGGGGACCGCAAGGCCUUGCGCGAACGGAGCGGCCGAUGGCAGAUUAGGUAGUUGGUGGGAUAAAAGCUUACCAAGCCGACGAUCUGUAGCUGGUCUGAGAGGACGACCAGCCACACUGGGACUGAGACACGGCCCAGACUCCUACGGGAGGCAGCAGUGGGGAAUUUUGGACAAUGGGCGAAAGCCUGAUCCAGCCAUGCCGCGUGCAGGAUGAAGGCCUUCGGGUUGUAAACUGCUUUUGUACGGAACGAAAAGACUCUGGUUAAUACCUGGGGUCCAUGACGGUACCGUAAGAAUAAGCACCGGCUAACUACGUG
rnacentral:rRNA from 1 species